AGAAAAUAAUCUGCGAUAAUGGCGCCUCAUUACUUGAAAGAACCUGGAAGCGAGCAUCCAGAGUUCAGCAAGCUACACUCUCGCAGAUCCAAACCGGAAGAACCUUUUCCAGAGAAGAUAAUGAGAUAGGUGGUGCACGAAUGAGAUUGAGGCCUUACGAGCAACUCAAGUGCUGAAGGAAAAGCUUUAGAUGAGAUGUUAACUAAGGUUUCAUGCAAGUAAAAGGAACCAAAGAAAGUGACAGUGGUUGUGUUUGGGAACUGAUCAAAAUGCAUAAUCUAGAAAUGAAGAAAGUAGCUGACGAGAAGAAGGAUGCUUUGGCUGCACAGUUUGUAGCUGAAGCAGCCCUUAGGAGGCUACACACAAACAACAAGGAGGAGGAUCUUCUACCAAUUGAUUCGAUCAUCGAUCCUCCUGAAGCUGACAUCAAAAUUUACAAGAAUGAGAUUGCAACUUUGCUAGAGGAUAAGAAAGCUAUGGAACGUCAUACAAAGUCAAAAGAAGCAGUUGUCCUUGAGACAAGGAAAAUCUUGAGGAGUUGAGGAUAUAUAAAACCAAAACCUCGAGUUAAGGAGACAGAUCGAAAUCUACCUGGAAGAGAACAAAAUACUCGAAAAGACCAACCAUCAGAAAGUCAUAGAGGUUGAAAAGCUUAGCCAGGCGAUUCAGGAACUUGAGGAGGUCGUUUUGGCUGGUGGGGGCUACUGCUAAUGUUGUUAUAGAAACGCAAAAUCUCUGAGCUCAAUGAGGAGAAGAUAAUUCGUGAGGGGGAGCUUGCACGAGCUAAGGUGUCAGCAAACAGAGUGGCAACUGUAGUUGGCUAAUGAAUGGAAAGACGGGGUUGAUAAGGUAAUUCCAGUGAAGCAAUGGGUUGAAGAACAUAGGGUUUUGCAAGUAUACAACUCCCUGUACAUGGAAUUCCUCUUAUCAACCAUAUAAUCUCAGUCAAACAAAUGACACAUGUAUGCCAAUUUUCAAGCAGAGAUGAAGCGUUUAAAGGACAAACUAGCAGUGACUGAAAAAACUGCAAAGGCAGAAUCAUAGAUGAAGAUAAAAUGGUCUAUGACAGGAGAGAAACAAACCAAGAUUCUACGAUUUAAUAUAAUUUCGCAUACAAGGGACAUGAAAGGUUUGUUGCUAGC